GCCUCGGUGGUGAAAUUGGUAGACACAGCAGACUUAAAAUCUGCCGCCUUUAAACGGGCGUACCGGUUCGAUUCCGGUCCGAGGCACCA
rnacentral:tRNA from 1 species